rnacentral:rRNA from 1 species
GACGAACGCUGGCGGCGUGCCUAACACAUGCAAGUCGAACGGAGGAUAUGGAAGUAUUUAUACGGAAAUAUCCUUAGUGGCGGACGGGUGAGUAACGCGUGAGUGACCUGACCUAAAGCGGGGGAUAACACUGGGAAACGAGUGCUAAUACCGCAUAAGACCACAGCGCUUGAAUGGCGCAGGGGUCAAAGGAGCAAUCCACUUUAGGAGGGGCUCGCGUCCCAUUAGCUGGUUGGUAGGGUAACGGCCUACCAAGGCGACGAUGGGUAGCCGGACUGAGAGGUUGAACGGCCACACUGGGACUGAGACACGGCCCAGACUCCUACGGGAGGCAGCAGUGGGGAAUAUUGCGCAAUGGGGGCAACCCUGACGCAGCAACGCCGCGUGAGUGAGGAAGGUUUUCGGACUGUAAAGCUCUGUCGAGCGGGAAGAAGUGUACCAUGGCUAAUACCCAUGAUAUUUGACGGUACCGCUAGAGGAAGCACCGGCUAACUCCGUG